rnacentral:hammerhead_ribozyme from 1 species
AUCCAGCUGACCAGUCUCAAAUAGGAAGAAACGCGCGUUCUGGAU